ACCCCGACCAACCGCCGAUAGCGCGAGUCUCCACUUUGGCACUAGGAGCGGUAUCAAAGAAGUGGGUGCUAUCGGCAGAAGAGACGUCUAGACCAGUGAGCAUAGCUACAUCGGCAAGAGUGGGAGAAACAGGGCCGUGGCCAAAGACAAAAGCAUUAAGAGUAUCUGACCAAAAAUAAGACGCAGCUAUCAACAGCGACUCGUUCUUGUGCAUAUCGGCAAUAGAUAGCCUGAUGCAUUGGGCUAGCUUCCUUUCACCCCACUGGACUUCAUUCGAAUUGCUGACUCUCAAGAACCAGUCUUUCCACCCUACAGUAGGGCUGGGCCAAGAGCGAAAGGUGUCUUUCCACAGAUCUAAAGAAAAAGUUUCGGCUCUAAAGGGAAUCCUGUUGGUUUCUGCAUUGAUAAGGUCAGUUGGAUCUGGAUCCCCUAGUGGGCCGAGACAUUGGAGGUGUGGUUGAUCGGUGGGGAUGACAACUUUGUUAGAUAACUCCUAGUGUUUUAGGGAAUAAAAAAUACAAAGAAAAAGGAAAAGGAAAAUAUUCAGUAAGAUGAAUCGCGGACGAACAGGAAUACGAAAAAAAAUACAGAAGAUGAGAUGGAGAUCUGACCUCAGGAACGACGAAGCCAAUGGCCAUCUUGUCGUGAAGAGGACGUUUGAGGGCACCGGAGUUGAUGAGAGGAGUGCUUGUCGGAGGUCUCGAAGGUUGUGAAUGGCGCCGCCGCUGGAAAAGUAAAAGUAGGGAUGGUGAAAUGAUGUGAUGGAGAAGGAGUACCCG
rnacentral:lncRNA from 1 species